ensembl:snRNA U6 U6 spliceosomal RNA
GUGCUCGCUUCGGCAGCACAUAUACUAAAACUGGAAGGAUACAGAGAUGAUUAGCAUGGCCACUGUGCAAAGAUGACACUCAAACUUGUGAACCGUUCCGUAUUUUA